GAUGAACGCUGGCGGCGUGCCUAAUACAUGCAAGUCGAGCGAACAGAUGAGGAGCUUGCUCCUCUGACGUUAGCGGCGGACGGGUGAGUAACACGUGGAUAACCUACCUAUAAGACUGGGAUAACUUCGGGAAACCGGGGCUAAUACCGGAUAAUAUAUUGAACCGCAUGGUUCAAUAGUGAAAGACGGUUUUGCUGUCACUUAUAGAUGGAUCCGCGCCGCAUUAGCUAGUUGGUAAGGUAACGGCUUACCAAGGCAACGAUACGUAGCCGACCUGAGAGGGUGAUCGGCCACACUGGAACUGAGACACGGUCCAGACUCCUACGGGAGGCAGCAGUAGGGAAUCUUCCGCAAUGGGCGAAAGCCUGACGGAGCAACGCCGCGUGAGUGAUGAAGGUCUUCGGAUCGUAAAACUCUGUUAUUAGGGAAGAACAAAUGUGUAAGUAACUAUGCACGUCUUGACGGUACCUAAUCAGAAAGCCACGGCUAACUACGUG
rnacentral:rRNA from 1 species